UACGUAGGGACCGAGCGUUGUCCGGAUUCAUUGGGCGUAAAGAGCUCGUAGGCGGCCACUCAAGUCGAAUGUGAAACCUCGAGGCUUAACCUUGAGCCUGCAUUCGAUACUGGGCGGCUGAGAGUCUGGUAGGGGGAGUCUGGAAUUCCUGGGUGUAGCGGUGGAAUGCGCAGAGUAUCAGGAGGAACACCGAUGGCGAAGGCAGGUCUCUGG
rnacentral:rRNA from 1 species